rnacentral:rRNA from 1 species
UGCCAGCCGCCGCGGUAAUACGGGGGGGGCAAGCGUUAUUCGGAUUUACUGGGCGUAAAGGGCGUGUAGGCGGCUUGAUAGGUCAAAGGUGAAAGCCCUCGGCUCAACCGAGGAACUGCCUUUGAAACCAUCUCGCUUGAGGCUGGGAGGGGAUAGCGGAAUUCCUGGUGUAGCGGUGAAAUGCGUAGAUAUCAGGAGGAACACCUGUGGCGAAGGCGGCUAUCUGGACCAGUUCUGACGCUGAGGCGCGAAAGCGUGGGGAGCAAACAGGAUUAGAUA